rnacentral:rRNA from 1 species
CCUACGGGGGGCAGCAGUGAGGAAUAUUGGUCAAUGGACGAGAGUCUGAACCAGCCAAGUAGCGUGAAGGAUGACUGCCCUAUGGGUUGUAAACUUCUUUUAUAAAGGAAUAAAACGAGGCACGUGUGCCUUUUUGCAUGUACUUUAUGAAUAAGGAUCGGCUAACUCCGUGCCAGCAGCCGCGGUAAUACGGAGGAUCCGAGCGUUAUCCGGAUUUUUUGGGUUUAAAGGGAGCGUCGAUGGGUUGUUAAGUCAGUUGUUAAAGUUUGCGGCUCAACCGUAAAAUUGCAAUUGAUACUGGCAGUCUUGAGUACAGUUGAGGUAGGCGGAAUUCGUGGUGUAGCGGUGAAAUGCUUAGAUAUCACGAAGAACCCCGAUUGCGAAGGCAGCUUACUAAACUGUGACUGACAUUGAUGCUCGAAAGUGUGGGUAUCAAACAGGAGUAGAUACCCUAGUAGUC